rnacentral:rRNA from 1 species
UACGUAGGGCGCAAGCGUUGUCCGGAAUUAUUGGGCGUAAAGAGCUCGUAGGUGGUUUGUUACGUCUGCUGUGAAAACCUAGGGCUUAACCCUGGGCCUGCAGUGGAUACGGGCAGACUAGAGGUAGGUAGGGGAGAAUGGAAUUCCCGGUGUAGCGGUGAAAUGCGCAGAUAUCGGGAGGAACACCGGUGGCGAAGGCGGUUCUCUGGGCCUUACCCUGACACUGAGGAGCGAAAGCGUGGGGAGCGAACAGG